UAUCAUCUGACUUUUCCUCAACUAUAACCUGGUAAAAAAACAAAAGAUAUAUACUAAGCAUGUCACUGUCCCUAAGUUCUGAGCACUACUGCCAGCUAAUCAACUACUACAAUAAUCUUUACUCCAUCCUUGAACCAACUACCAAAAUCAUCCAAGGGGAAUUGCGAGCAAGAACAUGGAGAUGAAAGCCCGCCAGAUGGUGGACAAGGAAUAUCUGCAAAUAUGAGAUGCAACUGAAACAACCUCUUCUAAG
rnacentral:lncRNA from 1 species